AACGAACGCUGGCGGCAUGCCUAACACAUGCAAGUCGAACGGAACCUUCGGUUUUGGUGGCUCACGGGUGCGUAACGCGGGGGAACCUACCCUUAUGUUCGGAAUAACUCCCCGAAAUGGGUUCUAAUAACGGAUAAUAUUUCCGGACCAAAGAUUUUGCGCCUUUGGGUGGGGCCGAGUUGGUUUAGGUAGGUGGUAGGGUAAACGCCUACUCAGGCGGUGAUCCGUAGCUGGUCUGAGAGGAUGCUCAGCGACACUGGGACUGGGACACGGCCCAGACUGGUACGGGAGGCGGGAGAGGGGGAUAUUGGAGUGUGGGCGAAAGGCUGAUUCAGCGAUGGCGCGUGAAUGAUGAAGGCGUUAGAGUUGUAAAGCGCUUUUAACCAGGCUGAGAGUGACAGUACCGGGAAAAUAAGCACCGGCUAACUACGUG
rnacentral:rRNA from 1 species